AAAGUGGGCAGAGGGUGAGGUUUCUGCUGGCAGAGAGGGGAUGAUGGAGUAGAGUGUAACACUGUGGGGUGGACACAUGCCAGUGGAGUGCUGAGGACAGUGAUCUCUAGCGGGGAACCACUCGCUGACGUGAGCUUGGUGGAGGGCCAGGGCAUCAUCUUUCCAUGAACUUGAUGCAGUGAUUGUGCCCCUAAUGCUUUUGAUGAUCCUUGCAUUAUGGAUUAGGAAGCACUGUUCAUAUCAAGACAUCCCACGAGAUUCUUCACCAUGCCUUACCAAUCUGAAUGAGUACCCAACAGCCCAGAAGCCUAGGAGAACAUAGUGAUGCCACUGUUUCUCUUCUCCAUUUUUUUUUCUGCUUCUACUUUAUAAUGAUUUGUUAAUGCAAGCUAUUUUAAUUUCUGUAACUCUGCAUGGAAUACCUUCCUUGUAAUCUCAAUUUUCUUAGUAGUACUCAACCUUCAAAGCCCAUUUCUGAUGCCAUAUCCUCCAGAAGGCUUCCCUGAUCCAUAAGGAGGAAGGAGUCUCUCCCUGGUCUGAAUCCAGACAGUGCUUCAGCUAUGCUCUGCUACAAGUAUACAUUACUUCUUUCCCUGAAUUACAGCUACUUAGGUCUUUGUACAUCUUCUAAUAUUUAAGCUCCUUUGGGACAAUGGUCAUGACAAAGUUGACUUUCUUACAUGCAAAGUGCUCAAUGAAAAUCAAACCAAAACAAAGCAACCUUAUCCAAAUUGGAUUUGUUGUCAUAUCGACAGACUUCUCAUUAUAGUCAUUUCUGACAUCAUUGUUGUUAUUUGAAACUCUGAUGGUCCCUGUCUUGUUUAAAUGCUUUUUUUUCCCCCCUUUUUAAUGUGGGCAAGAAAUUCCAUACUUCUUUAGUUACCUCACUUUCUAUCUAAACUCUUACAGAAAAAAUAUAACUUUGCCCUUUGUCACACUUAUUUUCUAAAUACAUUUAGUCAGCUCUUUCAAACUUAUCCCAAACACAAGGAGAGAAAGAGUGCAGCCCAUGUAUGAAGGGCAAUGGGCCAAAUAUAUCACUGAAUGGUUAAGGUAAGAGCAAGAGGAAUGAGCAUGGGAUCAAAGCAAAGGAUGUAUAUGGAAGGCAAGUCCCCCAGAGAGCGGUUCUGAGAUAUCCCUGCCUAGAUGUUGGUUCCUUUAAGUUUCAUUCACUGCAUGAGUGUAAGUCACUGAGUCAUAUCCAACUCUUUGUUACCCCACAGACUGUGGCCCACCAGGCUCCUCUGUCCCUGGGAUUUUUCAGGCAAAAAUACUGGAGUGGGUUGCCAUUCCCUUCUCCAGGGGAUCUUCCCAACCCAGGGAUUGAAUCUAGGUAUCCUACAUUGCAGGCUGAUUCUUUACCAUCUGAGCCACCAGGGAAGAUUUCAUUCACUAAUCAAGUAAUAUUUGUUAAGCUCUGAAUACAAGACAAUCAUUCAACUCAUAAACUGGUGGGGGAGAAAGCAACCAAGGUUAUUCCUACUUUCUUGAAGUUUACUAAGUUUACUUUCUAAACCUGUGCCCUUUUUACUGGUCAUAUUUUUUUUUUUUCUGCUUCAUUAUAAAAAUUGAAUUAACAGCAGAUGUAUAAUUUAUGUAAAAUAAAAUACAUCUAUUUUAGAUGUACAUGCCCAUUAUUUUGAAAAAUAUAUAAACCUAUGUAAACAUGAUCACAAUCAAGAUAUGAAACAUUUCCAUUACCCCAAUACUCCUCAAAUCUAUUUGCACUUAAACCAUUACCAACUAUGUAUUAUUGUAGCUACUUCAUAUCUUAUGCUAGUUGUUUAGAUUUGUCUUUUCUGUAAUUUUAUUAAAAUGGAACAAACUGUAUAUGCUCUUUGUAGCUGUCAUUUUUUCCCACAUAGCUUAUGGUUAUGUCAUCUAUGUUGCUUAUCGGUGCACUAGUAUCUAUCCUUUUUUAUUGUUCAAUAUGCUCAAUAGAAUUCCAUGUAUGAAUAUGAUAUUCAUACAUGAAAUUAUGUGUGUGUGUGUGUGUGUGUGUGUGUGUGUGUGUGUAUGUUAUUCAUCCACUGUUUGGCUGCUGGUUUGUUUCUAGUU